rnacentral:misc_RNA from 1 species
AUUUUGUUUAUUAUGUCUAUUUUAUCUUCUUCAGUGAUUGAAAGUUGAAACACGAAAUGAUGUAGCACCUCGCUCUCUUUAUGCAAGAAAGAUCCUAGGUCUCUCUCUGCUAAUCGAUGUUGCUUAUAGGUGCAACUCUGAUGUCUCAUCCAGGACAUCAGAGCUGGGAAAGAACAUUGCUCCUGAUUUUCUUUCAAUCAUCCAAAGCUUGGAAGUUUUGCAACCAAACCAGGCAAGUUUAAUCCUAAGCAAUGGCCAAAUGUCAGCCAAAACUUUACAGAUUUAAAGAUGCAGUUAAAUGUCCAAACAAAUCUUCGAUCAGUCUCUGUUAGCAGAGAUCAGAUUCAUGUACUUUUCAACAAUCAUUUCAGGUGAAAAAUCAGUGAAGUAUCCCUUCUGUACAUCCAACCCUUCUUCAGCUGCUAGCAUCUCAACCCUGGACUGGACCCUGUCUGCUCCAAUCUGAUUGGGUUCUAAGAGCAUGCAAGCUAUCUCCGUGGAAUCCUCACCAUGAACUAAGCCCAAUGUUUGCACUGUAGGGAGCCCACCACCACGAGCACUCACCAACCUCGCAAUCCGUCGAGCAGCAGAGACAUCAGUGGACAGGAUGGGCACAUUGUACAAUCCUACCCAGGGGCGUGCUCCGAUCAUUGUGAUGCCUCUGGCCCGAGACACAUGCUGCUGGCCUUCAUUGGGCAUUUCUGGGAGAAUUUCAGGCAUGUUCCAUCCUGCCCAUUGGUUCCCCAUGAAAUUGGGCCUGUAGUAACCCAGCUCACGCCUGAUGGUGUCCAGGGCCUUUCCUGUUGGGUGUGCUGCUGCAUAAAGAAAUACUGGCACUUGAAAUCUGCUGCCAAUAUCAGCUGCCACAGCUUUAGCAAGCCAAGCUGCUUCAUCCAGGGAAGCUUGAGCCAAGGGAUGGAAAACAAUGUCAUCCACAACACCAAGCCGAGGGUGUGCCCCACAGUGGGACUCGAGGUUUAUGGCUCCAUAAGCUGCCUCAAUCAUGGCCAGCACAGUUUGCUGCAAUGGGCUGUAAAUAGCAUUUCCUGUGCUAUCAAGAACAACAUAUGACACAAGAGUGUACCUUAUCCUAUUAUAGGCUCUGUCCUCAAAUUUGUUCACUAUCACAGUUUCUGGGUAGAGCCUAGCAGCGCUUUCAAUCGACUCAAGAGCUGUGUGAUUACGUGAUUCUGAUAUGUAGAGCUUGCAACAUAGCAGCAUGGACUGAUUUACUGUUUUCUUGUUCUUGCAACUCGAGUUAAAAUCCAUCGCUUCCUCUCUAGUCUGCUUCGCCUUCGUUGCUGUGCCUUCAGUUUGAGUCUUCAUGGAGGAGCUGCUUAAAGAAUACCUGCAAAUAUAAGAGCAAGACAUUAAUGUCGAAAUAUCUAAACAAAAGCUUAUGGGGUCAGCAAUGUACAACUCCCAUUGAAUCCAACGUCCCCACUUCUGGACCCUGAAAUCCAUAAACGUGGAUAAGGAGAAGCUUAUUUGUCCAAAAUCUCGAUUCACAUGGUACGCAAUGAUUCCAUAGUUUAUUCAAGACAUGCAAAAUCAAGCUAAGAAAGCUUUGCUUUUCAUAUUGGUAAUUGCUAAAUAAACAAAACAUUGCCAGAAAGAUCCGCUUAUUUAAUUAAUGUACAUCUUUUUAGUCAGAAAAAAGGUUCCCUAAGCAGGGUUGCUUAAAGCAGCAAUCACCACCUUUCCUUUAGCGGGUUCUUCAAUCAAUAUGUUUCUUCCAAUGAGAAGAAUGGCAAACUGAAGUCACAGAAUGCAGAUUACAUUUGGAAAGU